GCACUCAUUUCAGCAGAACAUACACUAAAAUUGGAAUAAUACCAAGAUUAGCAUGGCCCCUGACAAGGAUGACAUGCAAAUUCAUGAAGCAUUCCAUAUUUUU
rnacentral:snRNA from 1 species